rnacentral:rRNA from 1 species
UGAGUAAUGUCUGGGAAACUGCCUGAUGGAGGGGGAUAACUACUGGAAACGGUAGCUAAUACCGCAUAACGUCGCAAGACCAAAGAGGGGGACCUUCGGGCCUCUUGCCAUCAGAUGUGCCCAGAUGGGAUUAGCUAGUGGGUGGGGUAAUGGCUCACCUAGGCGACGAUCCCUAGCUGGUCUGAGAGGAUGACCAGCCACACUGGAACUGAGACACGGUCCAGACUCCUACGGGAGGCAGCAGUGGGGAAUAUUGCACAAUGGGCGCAAGCCUGAUGCAGCCAUGCCGCGUGUGUGAAGAAGGCCUUCGGGUUGUAAAGCACUUUCAGCGAGGAGGAAGGUGGUGAGCUUAAUACGCUCAUCAAUUGACGUUACUCGCAGAAGAAGCACCGGCUAACUCCGUGCCAGCAGCCGCGGUAAUACGGAGGGUGCAAGCGUUAAUCGGAAUUACUGGGCGUAAAGCGCACGCAGGCGGUUUGUUAAGUCAGAUGUGAAAUCCCCGGG